ACGGGGAUAUGCUCAUCGUUUUCGGUUCUCGUGAACCAUCGAGCGAACAUGGUACCUUCCUUUUUUGUCCUCCUCUUCUCUUGAUCCUCAUGUGGUCAAACCAAUCUGCGGGAACCACCAUCCAAUCGUAACAAAGCAAGAAAAGAUCACACCACUUAUUUUUAUAGAUGGCAUGAUACUUGGGCUUUCUGACUGAAUGGAGCAGGAGUGUGUGGCACUUGAAGGAAGAAGAACCCCCGAUCCAACUCAUUAUGGAGGAAAUCAUGGAGCGUAUUAGUGUGACAGCGUGCAUGAUGUAAUCUUGAGGAUCCGUGGAUAAUUCCCGGUGCGUCUCAUGCCCACGCCAUCAAAUUCAGAGCCACAAAUUUGGAUAUAAAAUACAAUAAAUAAUGCACAAAGAUGAUUGGAUAAGGAACAUGCUAUUUUUCUGUUGCUUAGGAAAGAUAUAUAAAGGACUUGAGUCGUAGUAUCCUCGAGUAGCUGAAUAGCUAAG
rnacentral:lncRNA from 1 species